GAAUGAAUGAAUGAAUGAAUGAAUAAAUACAACACUCACAGUAGGAUUUUAUUUAUAAAAAAAGCACAGACGCCUCGGUAAGAUAUUUAAAGCUCUUAAAACCUGUUCCUGCCCUGAGACUACAGGUGCAUUUCUGCUUCACACUGGUUCCCAAAUUUCUAAUGUUGCGGGGCCAACCAUGACGAUCUCGAUUCGUUAGCACAGGACUUCGUGUAUGAUAUGCUUAGCGAUUAGAGCCUAUGCUCUCCGGGAGCUCUAGUGGGACAAGGGGGACUGGAAGAGGAGGAAGAGAGUGACUAAAAACAGCCACUCCGGGAUGUGAGAACAGAGCCAACAUCGUGUCUGGAGACAACAAGGUUGCUUUUGUUAGUCUGGAUAUGUGUUUGGUGGUGGUGGUGGUGGAGCUCAAAUUUUAGAUUUUCAGUGCUAGAGAAAUGCAUUUACAAUGUGAAAACCCGAUGCUUAUUAAAGAAACUCAUUCUUUUAAAA
ensembl:sense_intronic Bach2it1 BTB and CNC homology 2, intronic transcript 1